UUGCUUAGUUGAUAAACAAAAUGUUUCAGACGAUAAAUUUGUCAACAAUCACCUUUAGUUCAUGUUCUUGUAUAAUACAAUUUCUUGAACCUUCUGGCUGUAUUUAUUCCUAGUUUUUAGAAUGACAUGUUUAUUUUUGCGCUCGAAAUCUGGCUGUAAAGACGCACAAUGAAGUCACUCCUUUUUACCGCCAUUUUGAGCCUUCGGAAACGUUCGGAACAGCUUCUCACCAAGUUCGCAAUACUAUUACAGGUAAGGUUGACGCAUGCGCAGACGUUUUCCCGCGGUGUUAUUUUUAGCUCCCCGUAUUUGUUAAAGACUAUGUAAAGUCCGUUCUGCGCAUACGUUG